CGUUCUGUAAGCCUGUGAAGGUGGCCUGUGAGGGUUGCUGGAGGUAUCAGAAGUGCGAAUGCUGACAUAAGUAACGAUAAAGCGGGUGAAAAGCCCGCUCGCCGGAAGACCAAGGGUUCCUGUCCAACGUUAAUCGGGGCAGGGUGAGUCGACCCCUAAGGCGAGGCCGAAAGGCGUAGUCGAUGGGAAACAGGUUAAUAUUCCUGUACUUGGUGUUACUGCGAAGGGGGGACGGAGAAGGCUAUGUUGGCCGGGCGACGGUUGUCCCGGUUUAAGCGUGUAGGCUGGUUUUCCAGGCAAAUCCGGAAAAUCAAGGCUGAGGCGUGAUGACGAGGCACUACGGUGCUGAAGCGACAAAUGCCCUGCUUCCAGGAAAAG
rnacentral:rRNA from 1 species